CCUACGGGUGGCAGCAGUGAGGAAUAUUGGUCAAUGGGCGCGAGCCUGAACCAGCCAAGUAGCGUGAAGGAUGACUGCCCUACGGGUUGUAAACUUCUUUUAUAAAGGAAUAAAGUGAGGCACGUGUGCCUUUUUGUAUGUAUUUUAUGAAUAAGGAUCGGCUAACUCCGUGCCAGCAGCCGCGGUAAUACGGAGGAUCCGAGCGUUAUCCGGAUUUAUUGGGUUGAAAGGGAGCGUAGAUGGGUUGUUAAGUCAGUUGUGAAAGGUUGCGGCUCAACCGUAAAAUUGCAAUUGAUACUGGCAGCCUUGAGUUCAGUUGAGGUAAGCGGAAUUCGUGGUGUAGCGGUGAAAUGCUUAGAUAUUACGAAGAACUCCGAUGGCGAAGGCAGCCUACUAAACUGCAACUGACGUUGAUGCUCGAAAGUGUGGGUAUCAAACAGGAUUAGAUACCCGAGUAGUC
rnacentral:rRNA from 1 species